rnacentral:lncRNA from 1 species
AAGCAACAUGUAAGAUGUCAGAAAUGCUUGGAAUUUGGACAUUGGACUUAUGAAUGCACAGGAAAAAGAAAAUACCUACAUAGGCCCUCAAGGACAGCAGAACUAAAGAAAGCUUUAAAAGAAAAAGAAAACAGAUUAUUAUUGCAACAAACAUUGGAGAAACCAAUGUAGAAAGAAAGGCCAAGAAAAAAAGUCUAAGAGUGUAACCAGUUCCAGUAGCAGUAGCAGUGACAGUUCUGCCAGUGAUUCUUCAUCAGAGAGUGAAGAAACAUCUACCUCUUCCUCCUCAGAGGACAGUGACACUGAUGAAAGCUCCUCUAGUUCCUCAUCCUCAGCCUCCUCCACAACCUCUUCCUCCUCCUCUGAUUCAGACUCAGAUUCCAGCUCUUCCAGUAGCAGUAGCACCAGCACAGAUAGCAGCUCUGACGAUGAACCACCAAAGAAGAA